CGCGCGCAGAGCCGUUGGGAGCGGCCGUUGAGGAGCCGCGGCGAGGCUUCGAAGCGCCGUUUCCUCGCUCUUCCAAACUAUGGCGUGACUUUCCAGAGGAGACGACGUGCGGCAGCGCCGUCCUCCUGCCCAGUGCAGCAGUUGAAUGCUUCACAUGACACUUCAAGCUGUACGGUUUUAAGGUUAUGUUUUCCAAAACAAGGUGGAAUCCUGUCUGCAGCGGACACACUGCUCAGACAACAUCAUAAUUAUUGAAAACUUCCUUCACACCCGCUUGCAGAGUAUAAUUAUGCUAAUGUGUUAUCUUCACAUCUUCCUUACACUUGGGGCAUCAACAAUAAUUAACUGAAGGAUGGGGGCGGAGAGGAGGGCAAAAGUAACCAACUGAGAAUCUGUUUUGAGAAACUCCUGGCUGUUAUUAGUUGGCUUGAUUUUAAAAUUCAAUAGAUAAAUGGAGUCAAGAAAGAGAACAGAACAAUACAAAAAAGUGCUUAGAAGAAAAUAGCAGAUCUUAAGGAAUAGAAUCAGAUAAAAUAGAACUGGGGGAAAUUUGUUGUCAUGGCAACCAAGAACUCAUUUCACCAUGCUACAAAUGAUAUAUAAUGUACCUUCAAUUGGUUUACCUGUAAUAAACUACAAAUGGUGCUGCAAAAAACACCAGCAGAGUCAUCAGUAGGGUUGAAAAUGUAUACAAACACAGCCAAAUUUGAGCAACUGGGAUAAAUUAAUGGAAAUUAAUGCACAUUCCAAGAACCAGAUAGUUACAAAAAGCAGCAA